GUAUUUUGUAUUAUAACAGAAUUUCAUAUCUGGGAAGCUGAAAGAGUCCAUUGCUCUCAAAGAAAGUCAGACAUGACAAACCAUUUCUGCUGGCGAUCGUCUGAAAGAGCACAACAAUGGGCUCAAAUCUUAAAAACAGUUAAAGAUCUUGGGACAAGAACACCAGAAGAGAUGAUCAUCCCUGGUAGUUUCUGUCUGAAGUUGGGCAAAAAUCUUCUGAUUUUCCUUCAAAGAAUUUGGGAGUAUUUUGUAACACUCAGGGUACUUAGUUUCCCUGAUGCCUUACUUCCCUAUCCAUGUUAAACUUUUCUUUCAGGAAAUCAUUCAUUCAUUCAUUCAUUCAUUCAGUGUGUCAAGUGCUAGAGCUGCUGGAAGAUGGAUGACUUGAUCCCUACCUUCGUGCAUCCCUGAACUAACGAAGGCAAGUUGAUAAGUGUCAUAACAUAAUCAAGGUCUGAGCUGGAAUAACUGAAGGGCAUUUCAUCGUGCCUGCUGGCCUUAGGCUCAGCAUCCAAGGUCCCCUUGGUUUUUCUUCCUGGAAUGUUUUCUGUUCCAGUGGCCAUAAGAGCUAUGUUGGGAGAGAGAGCCAUGGAGGUCCCUCCAAGCUCAUCCAGGCUGCAGCCAGCUCCAGGAACAGGUAAUGAAAGAGUUGCUGAAGUUUCUCCAUCAUCAGUCAGUUGUCUUAAGACCCACAGAGUAGUGCUGGCCUGUGCUGGUGAAGUGCAGAGAAGCCACCUGCCGAACAAGACUGAGUGUGACUGUGAGCCUGAACAACAUGAUGACUUGAACACUGUUGACACCGGCCUUCCUGUAAGCUUCGAUGAAGUAGACACUACUGCCUCUGCUGCAUUCCAGGAGCCUUAGGAUGCAGCUACCGGCCCUUUCCACAUUACUCCAGAAGCCAGGGUGGGAUACCUGGGAGGCGAUGGAACCAGCUACACAGGAGUAACUAGAGGAGUGUGCAUCCCCUUUCUGAGGUUUCACGGCCGACUUUGUUCAUCGCCAACUCCGUGUGCGUCACCCUCCUCCCCGUUUCGCGCAGGGCAGCAGCAUACCUAUUUUCUUCUUUAGCCUCUCUUCCUAGCCGUGGCUGAUAACAAAGCCAGAGCCAGGCAGGUGUGGACUCAAGUUGUCUUGGGAUUAUGAAGAAAGACGGAUGGAUGGAUGUACAGAUAGAUAGAUUAGAUUGGUUAAAUGAUAAAAUACUAAAUGUCUGUACCCUUCCCCUCCCUUUCCAUGUAUUAAAGCCAAGAGCCUAAUGUGUUGGUAUUUGGAGGAGGGGUCUUUUGGAGGUGACUAGAUUUAGAUGUAGGUCAGUCCACGAUGGGAUGGGCAUUGUCAUGGAAGAUGUGGCUUGCUCCUCUG